GCGGACGUAGCUCAGCGGAUAGAGCAUCAGUCUUCGGAACUGAGGGCCGGGGGUUCGAAUCCCUCCGUCCGCGCCA
rnacentral:tRNA from 2 species